GCAAAGCCGGCCUCCUGCUCACUCAGCCUUGAGCUAGCACCGCAGCCAGCUGUUCCCAGCUGACUCUGUCUCACCCAGGUGGAAGUGUCUGCUGAGAGAUUCUAGAGCCUCUUAAGGAUGAAGAUACUGAGGCCCAAGAACACUCAGCUUGCAGGCGCCACUGUGUUUGUGGGGGCCGUGUCCAGACACUGGGCGGGAAUUGGAAUGAGGAAAGGAGUCCUUGCCAGCCUUACUCCUCUGCUGUGUGACCGCAUGGACCCCUGCAUCUGGGAAGCAGAGAUCCUGUGGCCCUUGGGAAGAGGAGCCACAGGAUGGAAAGUUCUUGAAUCAGCCCCUGGAGGUCAGCCACUCCCCAGCCAACCGGAACACUUCAAUUGUGUUUAUAUGUGCUGAUUGCGCAUGCACUCUCCAAGAAACGCCCUUCAAGCAAAUCUCCACUUCGGAGUGUGUAUUCUGGGAAACCUCCCAAAGAUACCACUGAAGUGAAAUGAUUACUAAAUUUCAAUGGAUGCCUUCCUUGAAGGUGUUUGUAUAGCAAUAAUAAUAAUAACUAAUAUUCAUAGAGUGAUUCUAUG